AAGCACAUUAUCGAGGCAGAUUAAAGUUUGCAAAACUUUAGAUAAGUUAAUUCUUUAUCUUCUGUUUCUUAUUGUCAAGCUGAUCCAACCUAGCAACAGUAACUAGGGAAGGUGGAUGAGGAAUGGCCAGUUAGCUAACAUUAGCCAAGGAUAGCUAGCAAAGAGCAGCAGUUCUCAAUGCUGCCAUCUUUGUUUUUUUUACAUUAACAUUAAGCUAGUCAUAGUCUCGUUACAGCCUACAGCAACCUUGUGAUUUACUUGCUAAUAUAAGAAUAGGGGCUCUUUGUCGCCAUAUAUAGGCUAUAAAGACACAAUAGAAGUAUUGUAACUUGUUGUUUUUGCCACAGGGCUGAGUGAACAUACUUGGGUUGUAACCGUGGAAUUGGGUUAACACCAUGUCGUCAUAUGGCCGCAGGACCUGUUGCUGUACAUAAAAAGGAGUGCAGUUGAAAAUGGCUGAAACCUGUCACAUUAACAUGAUGGACUUUGGCGACCAUUUUAAUUAAUUCCCAACCCAGUUCAGGAAGUCUUAUUCCAGUCAGCCAGAACCAAUGCUGUGACUGUGAGAGGACGGGAAGGGAGGAGGACGAGGAGGAGGAGGGAGGAAGAUAAACAUCACAUGGGAGGGUCGGAGGAGGAGGAGGAGGGGGAGAGAAUUGGGAGGGCGCAGUGUCCGGCUUCUUCCACGGAACAGCAAACCAAC